AGGCUCGUCCCACCUGUGUGGAGCUCCCAUCGCCCUCCAGCGUUGCGCAGCCUGAAGGGACAGGACGGACAAGCGGGUGCCUCCUUCUAAUUCAUCUUCACCAUUGUGGUUGUCAAUAUGGCAUGCAGAAUUAUCCCUCUUUCCAGGUUUUCCCCAAGGACCCUGGACAAUGCUGGUUUUUCCUAUGUGCACCACCAAAGGGCCUAUCCAGCUUCUGGAGUCUACCUGGAUUCCUGGGCUCAUGGCCCCUUCCUCCAUCUUCAAACCAGCAAUGAUGGAGCUGAGCCUGACACUCUAACCGGUUCUCUGGGUGUACUGCAAAGGUCUAAUAAAAGGCACCUUUGCCCGGUUGCUUCAAUUCUAGGAAGCUGUUCAAUGUUUGACUAUAUUUCUCCAUACUCAUUUGAAAACAGUUCAUCAGGUUAGUUCAGUUGAAUUAUUGCUCCUUGGGAGUUUUCCAAACCCUGGAUUUCCUUCGGAGAGAGCUAGAUUCUAUUCCAUUCUUGGAAUUCAGCUCCUUGCCCUUCUCUGUGACCCCGGAUCGCGAAUGCAGUAAAAAUAAAAAUAUCCUGCUGCCUCCUGCACUAAGAAA
rnacentral:lncRNA from 1 species